GUGAAGCCACAGUCAUGUUCAUCUUCUUUGAUUUCGAAUCUUGCCUUCAUCGUUCAUCUUUAUCGCACAGAGCUUCAUCAUCAUUUGUGUAACCUUCAUCGCACAGAGCCAAUGACCUAUGCCCUUCCUCUAACCCUCGCACCCGACCCUCUGUUUGUCGAACCCUAUAGCUGUUUAUCAACCCUCGCACCCAACCCUCGCCUAUCAACGCAACCUUCAUUAGCCCUCUGUCUGUCGCACCAUCAACGCAUCGUGGCCUCCUACUCCCUCAGCUGUCUCUCUGUCGCACACCGUCGUUGGAUUCGGAACCCUCAAUCGUUGGCCCUCUGUCUGUCGCACCAUCAACACAUCGGCGUGGCCUCUUACUCCCUCAGCGCUCUUGCAAACCUUCGUUCGAUUCAAAAUCCCAAAUCGUUGUUGUCUCUCCCUCAAUCGGUACCGUAAACACUGCCCCUCUAUUUAGGGUUUCAGCUUCAAUCUAACGCGUUCAGUGAAGAGAAAGUCGUAGCCAUAGGGAGGAGUAAGCAUCCAAAACUCUUUACCAAAAUCUUCAUAGAAUCUUUUAUUUCUUAAUUUCUGAUUCUUAUUGUUCCAGGUAUUCGAUUUGCAUAUGUUAAUUUGGUUUUGGUUUAUUAGCUCGGGUUUGUAUAUUCUAUAUAAUUUAACAGUGUUUUUAUUUUUGUUUUUAUGAUCACUCAAGUUGUUUGAAUUAAGCAAGAUGGUUUUAUGUUUGUUUAUUAAAGAAAUGAAACUCCUUUAGCUAGCUUGUGGGAAACGGAGUAUUGUUCAAAUGAGGAUUUUUGUUGCUGCUACUAGGAUUUACAUAGUGGUUCAUUCAUUUGUUGUUGAAGUUACUAUGAGAUUGGUGAAAGCUGACUUGUGCUUCUAGAGAGAUUGGCUGGAACUUUGUUUGUUUUGUUUUUAUCUAUGUUUGAAUCAGGUAAAACAUAUAAUUAAUUUUUUUAUGUUGAAUCUUUUUUGGUUUGAAUUCACCCGUAGCAUCUAAGAUACUUCUUUGAUGCUUUCAAAAAUGAAAAAACCUUUAGGCUCAAGGUUUGUCCUAAUAUCAAGGUAUGUCUUGGAUUCAGUUUAUUUUGCUCUAGAAUUUUCUAGGCAUUUUGUUCUAUUUAGGUGCUAUAUGUAUGUUUUGAUGCCUGUGCAUGUGUUUCACUGUUAAAAUAUUUGUUUUUGGAUUUUGAGAUUUCUUUAAAGAUUGUAGUGUAAUUACUAUGCAAAAUACUUUGAGAGAAUAGAUUGUUUUUUGUUGAGAUUGCAUUAAACAUUUCUCCGCAAGUACAGAGAAUCCAAGAAGAUUGAUAAGAACAUGUACCAUGACAUGUACAUGAAGGUUAAGGGUAAUGUUUUCAAGAACAAGAGAGUGCUGAUGGAGAGCAUUCACAAGUCUAAGGCUGGGAAGGCAAGAGAGAAGACCCUGUCUGACCAGUUUGAGGCCAAGCGUGCUAAGAACAAGGCCAGCAGAGAAAGGAAGAUUGCUCGUAGGGAGGAGCAAUUGUCCCAGGGUCCUGGAGAGAAGCCUGCACUCAUUCUAUUUCCCAGUGGAGCCCAACAUGGAUGAGGCUUUUGCCCAGAUUACCUUGCUUCCAGGAAGGUUUGGUGACUGCUAAAUGCUGACUGCUGAGAAUGUACCUGCCAUGUUAUAAUUGGUAGAGCACUAGAAGAGCUCAGAGCUUUUCUCUACAAUGAGCUCUGAACCUCCGAAGGAGUGAAGCGCUAACAGCCAAGAUAUUGUGGACCGGUGGUUGCAUUGUCCUUCAACUUCAUGGUUGUUGUUAGGAUCAUCAUGGCAAACAAAUUGGUCUUCACAAUUUGGUUCAUUUUCUUUUUUUCCAAGUAAUUCAUGAUGUGAUGAUGAACUAUUAUUCAUUGAAGAAAAUUUUUGUUAACAAGUGAUGGGAGAAGUUGGAUUCAAGUUCCCAAUAUUACUCUCAUUUGUUCACUACAUCACAGCAUGGGUUUUCCUUGCAAUUUUAAAAUACUAUCAGUGCUUGAUUUUGACAUAUAUUUUCAAGGCACUAUCGGUGCUUCCUCAACCCACUGCUUUUUAUAAUAUCUUUUAAUGAGGAUGGGGAUACAUUCAUUAUUAUCUAGGUCUAACACAAUUUGUAGGCAGUCCUAGGUUAUCUAAUUUCUCUUUGUUAUUUAUUUAUAUACAUACACUACUACUAUUUGAAGUCUUAUGCUGACUUCUAAAUAUUCCUUUUCAUCAUACAAUAUUGCAAAUUGUCUUCAUAGUUUUAUUUUCAUUCUUUCUUUAUACUAUUUAUCCAUAUUAUAUAGACAAUUAAACCCAAACACACAUAGAAAAGAAGAAGAGAAAAGGGUCACUCCUAGUAAAGUCUUCACACCGUUUUUUAUUUUAUAUGGCUUUAAUUAAUUAGAUUCAUAUUUAUUUCUACCAUAUCUUUCAAAUUAUUGUUCUGUGUGUCCAUAGCUAGCACUUCUUUUUUCCUCUUCUAUAUUCCCUCUGCAUAUCAUCAUCUCUCCAAUUUUUUGGUAUAUGGUUUCCAUUUGUCUUUGAUGCAUGUUAUUGCCUAUUUAGGAAUAUUCCUUGAAAUUUUUCUGCAGGAAUUUUGUGAAGAGGCAGCUGACAUGGUUUCGAAAUGAAAAAAUAUGACUGGCUUGAUGCUUCUAAACCUCUGAACAAUGGUGUACGAAAUUGUGAUCAUACUUUUCACAACUUCGCACAACUAACCAGGAAGUGCACUGGGUUGUCCAAGUAAUACCUUACGUGAGUAAGGGUCAAUCCCACGGAGAUUGUCGGCUUGAAGCAAGCUAUGGUUAUCUUGUAAAUCUUAGUCAGGAGAUUAAUGAUAAAAAUGAUUUUGUUUAUGAAAAGUAAAUAACAUGAAAUAAAUGAUACUUGUGAUUCAGUAAUGAGGAACAGGUUGAGGUUUCGGAGAUGCUCUGUCGUCUGAAUCUCUACUGUCUUCUUUUCCAAACACACAUGGCUUCUUUCCAUGGCAGGCUGUAUGAUCCUCUCAGUGAAAAAUGGUCCAAGUACGGUUUCUGCAUGGCUAAUCAACCGUCGGAUUUCUCGUCUCAGAUAAAAAAUACCAGGCACAGCUACCGCACGGCUAAUCAUCUGUUGGUUCUCACUUGUAUCGGAAUAGGAUCUCUCUAUCCUUUUGCACACUGUCACUGCGCCCAACAUCCGUGAGUUUGAAGCUCGUCACAGUCAUCCCUUUCCAGAUCCUACGCGGAAUACCACAGGCAAGGUUUAGACUUUCUGGAUCUCAGGAAUGCUGCCAAUUGGUUCUAACCUCUACCACGAAGGUUAUAAUCUCACAGACUCGGUCCGUGGAUUAGAGACCCAAGAGAUACGCACUCAAGCUGUCGCCCAAUGAUUACGUUGAGCUCAGAUAGAACGGGAGUGGUUGUCAGGCACGCGUUCAUAAGGUUGAGGAUAAUGAUGAGUGUCACGGAUCAUCAUAUUCUUUAUUUUGAAGUACGAGUGAUUGAAUAAAAAAUAAUAGUAAUUACAUUAAUCCAUUGAAACACAGCAGAGCUCUUCACCCCCACCUAUGGGGUUUAGAGACUCAUGUUGUAGAAGAUACAAUAUGAAAUAUAAAAAAUGUCAUAAGUUCUAAAUAAAUCUCUAAAAGUUUUUAUACUAAACUAGUAACCUAGGUUUACAGAAAAUGAGUAACUAAGUGCAGAUAGUGCAGAAAUUCACUUCUGGGGUCCACUUCAAGUGCAUAGGCUAUCCUUGGAGUCAAACGCCAGUUUGGGUGCCAGUUUUGGCAUUUAACUCCAGUGUUGGUGCCAGUUUUGGCGUUUUACGCCAGAAAAAGGGUUUUUGGCUGGCGUUUAACACCAGUUUGACCCAUCAAAUCUUGGGCAAAGUAUAGACUAUUAUACAUUGCUAGAAAGUCCAAGAUGUGUACUUUCCAACGCAAUUUAGAGCGUGUCAAUUGGUCUUUUGUAGCUCUAGAAAAUUUACUUCGAGUGCAGGAGGGUCAGAAUCCAAUAGCAUCUGCAGUCUUUUCUCAGCCUCUGAAUCAGAUUUUUGUUCAAGUCCCUCAAUUUUUGUCAGAAAGUACCUGAAAUUAUAGAAAAACACAAACUCAUAGUGAAGUCCAGAAAUGUGAUUUUUGAAUAAAACUUAAAAAAAACAUAACAAAAAGUGAAUGAAACAUGCUAAAAACUAUAUGAAAAUACUACCAAAAAGCGUAUAAAAUAUCCGCUCAUCAAACAACUAUAAACCAACUUAACUAGUUAACUUUUAUGUCCUCAGCCCAACCUACUUUAACUAUUGCUAACUAACAUCUGUGUCUUAACUAGUUUAGAUUGUGUGCAGAAGAUAUGUGUACAAACACAAUAUUAAAUAUAUUUCCUGUUGGAACAACAUUAACGUUUACUUUCUUGUGAAGGGCAUUUUUUGAAGUGGAAAGAUUGUUCUCAUAUUCUAGACUGGAUAGGGGAGACCCAAAGCUGAAGUAAAUGGAGCUUCUCUUUCGGGAUUCAUCAUCAAUUGGCCACAAAUUUAAUAGUUUUAAUGGCUUCCUAAGUUCUAAUGAUAAACUUAUUUUGUCCUAAUUCAAUUAUUAAUUGUUAUAGAAUUGUAAUUUUUUAAUUAUUAAUAUAGCAUGUAAAUAAAUCAUGUAAAUCAAUAAAAAAUAAAUU